AUUACCGAGUGAGGGCCCUCUGGGUCCAACCUCCCACCCGUGUUUAUUUUACCUUGUUGCUUCGGCGGGCCCGCCUUAACUGGCCGCCGGGGGGCUCACGCCCCCGGGCCCGCGCCCGCCGAAGACACCCUCGAACUCUGUCUGAAGAUUGAAGUCUGAGUGAAAAUAUAAAUUAUUUAAAACUUUCAACAACGGAUCUCUUGGUUCCGGCAUCGAUGAAGAACGCAGCGAAAUGCGAUACGUAAUGUGAAUUGCAAAUUCAGUGAAUCAUCGAGUCUUUGAACGCACAUUGCGCCCCCUGGUAUUCCGGGGGGCAUGCCUGUCCGAGCGUCAUUGCUGCCCUCAAGCCCGGCUUGUGUGUUGGGCCCCGUCCUCCGAUCUCCGGGGGACGGGCCCGAAAGGCAGCGGCGGCACCGCGUCCGGUCCUCGAGCGUAUGGGGCUUUGUCACCCGCUCUGUAGGCCCGGCCGGCGCUUGCCGAUCAACCCAAAUUUUUAUCCAGGUUGACCUCGGAUCAGGUAGGGAUACCCGCUGAACUUAAGCAUAUCAAUAAGCGGAGGAAAAGAAACCAACAGGGAUUGCCCCAGUAACGGCGAGUGAAGCGGCAAGAGCUCAAAUUUGAAAGCUGGCUCCUUCGGGGUCCGCAUUGUAAUUUGCAGAGGAUGCUUCGGGAGCGGUCCCCAUCUAAGUGCCCUGGAACGGGACGUCAUAGAGGGUGAGAAUCCCGUAUGGGAUGGGGUGUCCGCGCCCGUGUGAAGCUCCUUCGACGA
rnacentral:rRNA from 1 species